GCUGAGUGGGGAGGAGAGAGGGACAGAGAGCCUGCUUGCUUUAAAGCACCCACCCGGACUGGAGCCGCUUACACGCGGGUAUGUGGUACCUCACCUCCCCCGCUUGGCACCUUUAAAGAAGCAGGCUCUCUGUCCCUCUCUCCUCCCCACGCAGC